rnacentral:misc_RNA from 1 species
GUGCUGCAGUCCCUCGUACCCAUACUCGAUCAAUCUGUGGUGGAACAGAGGAUCCGGCCAUGCCUUGUUGAGCUCAGCGAGGAUCCAGACAUGGAUGUUCGUUCUUUCGCCAACCAAGCGCUCCAAGAAUGUGGCUCGGUUAUGAUGACAACCUAGAACUUUAUUGUCUUGAGAAUCUGGGGAGUUUCUUACUUGUUAAUUUACUUUAUGGUGACUGAUAGCAGAUGUAGACCAACCUGAUGUAAUCUGGUCUAAUGAUUUUGUAUAAUCGUCGCUUUUUUGUUGCGUUU